rnacentral:rRNA from 1 species
CGCUAUCACUCCUACGGGGAGGCAGCAGUAGGGAAUCUUCCACAAUGGGCGCAAGCCUGAUGGAGCAACACCGCGUGAGUGAAGAAGGGUUUCGGCUCGUAAAGCUCUGUUGUUAAAGAAGAACACGUAUGAGAGUAACUGUUCAUACGUUGACGGUAUUUAACCAGAAAGUCACGGCUAACUACGUGCCAGCAGCCGCGGUAAUACGUAGGUGGCAAGCGUUAUCCGGAUUUAUUGGGCGUAAAGAGAGUGCAGGCGGUUUUCUAAGUCUGAUGUGAAAGCCUUCGGCUUAACCGGAGAAGUGCAUCGGAAACUGGAUAACUUGAGUGCAGAAGAGGGUAGUGGAACUCCAUGUGUAGCGGUGGAAUGCGUAGAUAUAUGGAAGAACACCAGUGGCGAAGGCGGCUACCUGGUCUGCAACUGACGCUGAGACUCGAAAGCAUGGGUAGCGAACAGGAUUAGAUACCCCUGGUAG